UUUAAUAAACACCCACCUGAAGGCACUUCUAGAAUUCUAAGGGUUGAGAGCUGUCACUCAACACACAAGGAUUGCGAAAUCCACCUCACAUGUGACAGUUUAAUUGCAACCCUCUUCGAUGAACCCACUUGUCCUUUCAGUUGGUUCAGGUGCACGUCUUCCCGAAGCCAACAUUGCUACAACUUUUUCCGGUAUCUGUGAAAUAUAUGAAACCAAAAACAGAAGGGGAAACCGUUUCCGAACUCGAACGGAGCAAUUCACUGGGGCCCCGAAAGUCUCAGAGUCAGUCAGAUUUAGAAGCAAGCCAGGGGAGUUCGGACCCAAGCUUUGAAGUCUCCAGCCCACAUUUCCUCUGAGUCACGAGUAAGCUCUGCUGCUUUUGUUUGCUACCGGACGUUGAAAGGAAGAGGACGCAUGGACCGGCCAGAUUGGGAACUCUGACAGCUUGUGACGCGGUGCAGCUCUUGGCGGGGAUUUUUGAAAAGUGACCACGCCUCUUCUGCCAGAGCUUGAGAAAGCAAAGCAAGGGAAAACACUCUCUGGGUCGAUAGCAACCACCAUUUGGUCAUGUCAGGUGUCCUCGCAGAUUGGUACUCUGAUUUGACGGACAGCUGGCAGGAGAGCGCUGGGACGCCCUCGCUCGCCUUGAGCUCCUGCUGCCGGGCCAUGUAGCCGUGAGAGGCUGCGGCCCGGAUAGCGCUCGGGAUGGGGAGCGCCGUGUGGACCGGCUUCACCGUGGAGGGUUGCCUGAGCUUGGAGGCGACGCCAACUACCGGCAUGGUAUAAUUGCCUCCGUUUCCAAAACAAUAAUAAAAGACUGGGACACGCCGGGUCCCGUGACGGAGGGGAAUUGAAGAAACCACAAUCGAGAAAACAAAAUAAAACGAAAGUAAAAAAAAAAAAGAAAAAAAAAAAGGAG